AAUGAACGCUGGCGGCGCGCCUAAUACAUGCAAGUCGAGCGAGAAGACGUAGCAAUACGUUUGUAAAGCGGCGAACGGGUGAGGAAUACAUGGGUAACCUACCCUCGAGUGGGGAAUAACUAGCCGAAGGUUAGCUAAUACCGCGUACGCUCCUUGGACUUCGGUUCAGGGAGGAAAGCGAUACCGUGGGUAUCGCGCUCUUGGUUGGGCUCAUGUCCUAUCAGCUUGUUGGUGAGGAACGGCUCACCAAGGCUUCGACGGGUAGCUGGUCUGAGAGGAC
rnacentral:rRNA from 1 species